UGGUGGAGUGAUUUGUCUGGUUAAUUCCGAUAACGAACGAGACCUUAACCUGCUAAAUAGUCCGGCCGGCUUUUGCUGGUCGCAGACUUCUUAGAGGGACUGUCAGCGUCUAGCUGACGGAAGUUUGAGGCAAUAACA
rnacentral:rRNA from 1 species